rnacentral:rRNA from 1 species
CUUGGUCAUUUAGAGGAAGUAAAAGUCGUAACAAGGUUUCCGUAGGUGAACCUGCGGAAGGAUCAUUAGUGAACGCCCUCACGGGCUUAUAACUAUUCCAAACCUCUGUGAACCGUGCCCUUCGGGGCUAUUUUACAAACAUGGUGUAAUGAACGUCAUAUAUCAUAACAAAACAAAACUUUCAACAACGGAUCUCUUGGCUCUCGCAUCGAUGAAGAACGCAGCGAAAUGCGAUAAGUAAUGUGGAUUGCAGAAUUCAGUGAAUCAUCGAAUCUUUGAACGCACCUUGCGCCCUCUGGUAUUCCGGAGGGCAUGCCUGUUUGAGUGUCAUGUAGACUCAAUCCCUCGGGUUUCCGAGGAGAUUGGACUUGGGUGUUGCCGCUCUGCCGGCUCGCCUUAAAAGACUUAGCGGGAUAGCACCGUAGUCGGCGUAAUAAGUUUCGUCGGUGAAGGUUGUGAUGACUGCUUACAAUCGCCCUUGGGCAAUUUUUGACUCUGACCUCAAAUCAGGUAGGACUACCCGCUGAACUUAAGCAUAUCAAUAAGCGGAGGA